GGCUCUGUGGCGCAAUGGAUAGCGCAUUGGACUUCUAGAUGAAUGAAGGAAUUCAAAGGUUGUGGGUUCGAGUCCCACCAGAGUCG
rnacentral:tRNA from 1 species